rnacentral:misc_RNA from 1 species
AGAAGAUAUGUGGUUUUGCCCUGGAUGUAAGGAGCAUCGCCAAGCCACUAAGAAGUUGGAUCUUUGGAGACUGCCGGAAAUUCUGGUCAUCCACCUGAAGAGGUUCUCAUACAGCCGGUUUAUAAAGAACAAGUUGGAGACAUACGUUGACUUCCCCACUCAUGAUCUCGAUUUAUCCUCAUAUAUGGCCUACAAGGAUGGAAAAUCUUCCUAUCGGUAUAUGCUUUAUGCAAUUAGCAACCAUUAUGGAAGCAUGGGAGGGGGUCACUAUACGGCAUUUGUUCAUCAAGGUGCUGAUCGGUGGUAUGACUUCGAUGACAGCCAUGUGUCUCCCAUCAACAAGGACAAGAUCAAAACCUCAGCAGCGUAUGUUCUGUUUUAUAGACGAGUUGAAGAAACCUAACGUUAGAUUAUAGUUACUAAACAUCAAGGCUUGAUUUAUCUUUUCGCAAAGCCUUACAGGAAUGGGUUUGGUUUCAACAUUCU